rnacentral:rRNA from 1 species
CCCUACGGGGCGCAGCAGUGGGGGAUAUUGCACAAUGGGGGAAACCCUGAUGCAGCGACGCCGCGUGAGUGAAGAAGUAUUUCGGUAUGUAAAGCUCUAUCAGCAGGGAAGAAAAUGACAGUACCUGACCAAGAAGCCCCGGCUAACUACGUGCCAGCAGCCGCGGUAAUACGUAGGGGGCAAGCGUUAUCCGGAUUUAUUGGGUUUAAAGGGUGCGUAGGCGGACUGUUAAGUCAGCGGUAAAAGCCCGGGGCUCAACCCCGGCGAGCCGUUGAAACUGGCUGUCUUGAGAUGUCGAGAGGUAU